rnacentral:rRNA from 2 species
UAAUUUUGAACGAGUGGCGGACGGGUGAGUAACACGUGGGUAACCUGCCCUUAAGUGGGGGAUAACAUUUGGAAACAGAUGCUAAUACCGCAUAAAUCCAAGAACCGCAUGGUUCUUGGCUGAAAGAUGGCGUAAGCUAUCGCUUUUGGAUGGACCCGCGGCGUAUUAGCUAGUUGGUGAGGUAACGGCUCACCAAGGCAAUGAUACGUAGCCGAACUGAGAGGUUGAUCGGCCACAUUGGGACUGAGACACGGCCCAAACUCUANCGAGAGGCANCAGUAGGGAAUCUUCCACAAUGGACGCAAGUCUGAUGGAGCAACGCCGCGUGAGUGAAANAAGGCUUUCGGGUCGUAAAACUCUGUUUGUUGGGA